rnacentral:tmRNA from 1 species
GUUGGAUUUGACUUUGCAUAAGAAGAGUGAGCGUAAGCGUGUCGUCGUAGAGCGUUAAUCUUAAAAAACAAAUAGUCGGAAACGAUACACAAUUAGGUUCAAUCCUAAACGAAAACGUUCUUUUGAAUGGUACAGUAGGUACAAUUGCGAAAGAAGAGGUAGUGUUAGCCUAAGAUCAACACACAGGUUAGUCAGUUGUCCUUAACAACGAGGUAUGGUUACAAUGACGAUGAUGUUCAGAACGAUUCCUUAAGUGUUCUAAAAUUCGUAUAUUUUGGAAGAUUAGAAAAUCUUAUCCUACACACGUAGAAAUCCAUUUGGAUAUGCGAAGGACGAGGGUUUAUUUUCGGACCCACU